GACGAACGCUGGCGGCGUGCCUAAUACAUGCAAGUCGAGCGAAUUUGAUGAGGUGCUUGCACCUCUGAGGGUUAGCGGCGGACGGGUGAGUAACACGUAGGUAACCUGCCUGUAAGACUGGGAUAACUACCGGAAACGGUAGCUAAUACCGGAUAGGCGAGACUCCCGCAUGGGGGAUUCGAGAAAGGCGGCGCAAGCUGCCACUUACAGAUGGACCUGCGGCGCAUUAGCUAGUUGGUGAGGUAACGGCUCACCAAGGCGACGAUGCGUAGCCGACCUGAGAGGGUGGUCGGCCACACUGGGACUGAGACACGGCCCAGACUCCUACGGGAGGCAGCAGUAGGGAAUCUUCCGCAAUGGACGAAAGUCUGACGGAGCAACGCCGCGUGAGUGAUGAAGGCCUUCGGGUCGUAAAGCUCUGUUGCCAGGGAAGAACGGUUCGGAGAGUAACUGCUCCGGAAGUGACGGUACCUGAGAAGAAAGCCCCGGCUAACUACGUGCCAGCCGCCGCCGUAACAC
rnacentral:rRNA from 1 species